rnacentral:rRNA from 1 species
UGGGGAAUAUUGGGCAAUGGGCGCAAGCCUGACCCAGCAACGCCGCGUGAAGGAAGAAGGCUUUCGGGUUGUAAACUUCUUUUCUGAGGGACGAUAGUGACGGUACCUCAGGAAUAAGCCACGGCUAACUACGUGCCAGCAGCCGCGGUAAUACGUAGGUGGCAAGCGUUAUCCGGAUUUACUGGGUGUAAAGGGCGUGUAGGCGGGACUGCAAGUCAGAUGUGAAAACCAGAGGCUCAACCUCUGGCCUGCAUUUGAAACUGUAGUUCUUGAGUACCGGAGAGGUCAUCGGAAUUCCUUGUGUAGCGGUGAAAUGCGUAGAUAUAAGGAAGAACACCAGUGGCGAAGGCGGCCUGCUGGACAAUAACUGACGCUGAGGCGCGAAAGCGUGGGGAGCAAACAGGAUUAGAUACCC